ACGGUAGAUAGGGAACAAACUGCCUCAAGACGUUCUUAACCCAGCUCACG
rnacentral:rRNA from 1 species